rnacentral:lncRNA from 12 species
AUGCUCUAACAUUCUUUAAAUUCUUUCCAGAUUAAAAAUGGAUCAAAAUUUCUCUAUCUUAAAAUGUGAGAUUUGGGGCAGCCCCGGUAGCCCAGUGGUUUAGCGCUGCCUUUGGCCCAGGGCGUGAUCCUGGAGACCCAGGAUCGAGUCCUGCGUCAGGCUCCCUGCAUGGAGCCUGCUUCUCCCUCUGCCUGUGUCUCUGCCCCUCUCCCUCCCUCCCUCCCUCCCUCCCUGUCUGUCUCAUGAAUAAAAUCUUAAAAAAAUAAAUUUAAAAAAUAAAUUUUAAAAAAUGUGAGAUUUGGCCUCAAUGUUAGAGUAAAUACAGACAUCGCAGAAGACUAGAAUAUGAAGGCACCUAACCAAAAAACAAACAAAACUGAAAUCUAACAAUAGGAAGCCGUAGACAUGAAGCCUGAGACAUUGUUUGUAAUUAUGUCUUCUAUAUUUGCCAUUAGCGCCUGAGUUGGGUAUGGCUGAAUGACAACAGUAUUAGAGUUCUUUGGAGAACAUAGAAUGCAACUUUCCAACUUAGAAUGAUAUGAAAAUGAUUUCAGAAUGCUUCUGCAUGGAGUUCCGCUUUACAUUUCACUAGAUGAGUGAGAAAAGGCUUCUGGAGAGGGUCUGGAAUACAAAGCUAAAGAGCUUCGACCUCAUUUAUAGACAAAAAAGAAGCCAAAGAUUUUUUUUUAAUCAAAUUAUGAUUGAAGGUACACUUGGGAAAAUCUUCUUCACUCAAUGAUGCUGAAAAGAGGCUCCUGAUCAACAAAACAGUGUUACUUACAACUGUGUUUAAGGCCCUUCCUGGAAGAGGUCAAGACCAUGGCUGUUUUCCUCAAUAUGAGUAGGAUUCCCAAAGUGGGGGAAAAGUUUCUCUUAUCUUCACUCUGCAAUGUGCUUGAAGCCAAGAUCCCAAGAUUUCCACGAAAACAACUGCUGACAAGAAUUCAGGAAUUAGCACUUCUCAGGUUCAUGAAAGACCAAGGGAGGAAAAAAAUCACAUUCAUUAAGACCAAGACGAGACAAGGGACUUCCCUGCAGGCACAACAUCACACGGGAGCCACCCCUGACCCACCCAGAGCUCAACACGGAAGAACAAGGGAGGAAGACCUCUGCCUUCGUGUCAGCCGUCCUCCCAACUCCUACCCAGUGGUCACAUCAACAUUAAGUUCUGACACUGAGGCAAUUGUCCACCUUCUGAAUCCCACCUCUCCAAGGCUGAAGCUGGGAAAACUCUCUUCCCUGCGUGGUUUGUGCAGGCUCGUGACUUGGAACAGUGCAGCAGCCUGGGUAUGCAGCUGGCCAUGGGCAUCCCGUGCAUUGACAACCAAAGUUCACCAUGGGCCUGGGCCUCCAGCCACACAACAGUCACUGUCCAUUUCAUCCCGGGACAUUCCUCUUCAUUUCUGCUGGUUUGGUGAAUGUUGCUUCUCUGCAUAUUUCCGAUUGUUCUACUCUGAUGCACUUUUGACUUGAGUUAUUAAUGGGGAUUACUUAAAAAAAAAGUCCUGCAGUCAACAAUUCACAUUAAUAAAAAUCCCAGUACAGUAGUAGUCUGUCCCA